GUGGAUGCUUUGAAGAUAUUGGCCUAGCAAAAUGGCAAUGGGUUUAAAAAAUAAGAUUCAUAAGAAGUUGUCUUUUCAGACAUAUCAAACCCCUAAACAAGAGAAGAUACUGAGGCCUGUUGCCACAAACCCGUAGAUCCGAACUUGUGAUGAUAGUCUGCACAAGCUUGUGUCUACAGUUUCCUUUAAGAGUGGUGGAAAUGGAAAGAGGGGGUGAUAUGGAGGAAGGAGACCUUUUGUUCUGCAAUGGAUGAAGUUCUUCAAUGAUUAAUUUAUAGUCCUGCCCUCAGUUCCCUUAUCUCUUACAAUUACUCGCAGC